AGUAAUCCAUUGUAUUUUCAUUAAUAUGUUUCAUACUAAUCACAUGAUCCAUAUCAAGUAACUGUUAGUUUACAAAAAUCCAGCUAAUUACAGAAUUAGGCUCUAAAUCUUGCCUCGUUUUUUCAGUCAUUGAACGAUUUUGCCUGCCACCUGAAGGCAAAGUUACAUACAAACAGGUACUGAAGUUGACGAAGAAAUAUUCAGUGACCUCCUUAGACAAGGCAAUGUGGUACUGACAGUUUUCUGCUAUGAUGAGUUCUCAGAAUGGUCAUCUGCUUCUGAGUCUGACUCGAGCUUCGACUCAAAUGCAUCAACAUCAACAAUACUAAUGGAUGAGAUACCACGCAAGAAGCAAAAACCUGAGAAUCCUAAUAACUCAAUGUCUGCUAAGAAUGUAACAAUAUUUUUUGUCUGCUAACACAUCUAGUAAGUACCUAGAUAUAUCUGAAGAUAGUUGACUGUUCAGAGUACUCAUAAAGUUCUGAUAUUAUAUCUGAAAACUUUUAUAAAUUUGUCCUCAGGCUAUGACCAAGAAACGGCCUCGCUGUUACUGCUCUUACAUCUCCUUCCACCGCAACCAGGAGGACAGAAGUCUCCAAAAAUCAGUGCAAGUGAUGCAGUUGAGAGACUUGUUGUCUUUCAUAAGUCAUGCUGGAGUUUAGAGGAGCAUCUCCGGGGUCAACAGGGUCUGCAGCCAUACCUCCUUGCUGUUGGGCGUCAGAGAAGCAAAAUU